rnacentral:lncRNA from 1 species
CAGAAAAAGAGCAUUAAAGCCAAUUGUAAAUGUGAUUCUGAAGUCCCGCAGUUUACUGUGAGCUCACACUGUGUUAAUGACAGGUGCAGCAGCUGGAGGAGCAGCUCAGGCUACAACAGGCUAAAGCAGAUGCUACACAGCAGCUGCUCAGUGAAGCUAAUGAGACCAUGUCCAAUCUGAAGGAGCAGAUGAGUAGCUUCAAGCAGAGCAGUGCUAGUCCAAAGGAAACAAUGUCCUCCAGGUUGCAGGCUUCCACUGAACAGCUUCAGGUCAGCUGUUACUCUUUCUUUGGCUCUUUUUGGGAUUUUUGGCUCUAAAACUAGCAACUUUAUCAUUGAUCAAAGGUUAAAAUCUUUAAUUGCUCAUACACCAGCUCGUGUAACCAUCAUGGCUCCCUCAAUACGUUAUUGGUCAUUGCAGGAGGUGUUUGGAAAAAGCCAACAACUUGUAGGUGUAGCUGCCUACUAUAACCCAGAGAUGUUGGAGUAUAACCUCGGAGACUGUCUCAGUUUGCCUCAUGCUUUCAAAGUAUCUGUCCCCGAAAGCACCAUAAGAAUCUACGAAGGAAUGCGUGAAGCCAGAAAGCCAACCAUUGAGAGGCUGAUAAACUUUGCCGUAAAUAUCCACAUUUCUUCUCCAGUCUAAAUUCAAAGUUGAUCACAAUCCCCUGAAACCUUGUAUUUUGUGCUUCACAGGUUGAGGUGCAAACUCGAGUGCAGUACUACAGAAAGACGUUUGAGGAGAUUGUAAGGAUGGAUUUGGAAAUUUUUGAGGAGCGGCGGCUGCAGGAUGUUCUCCUCUGCAGAUUGCAGGCUCCCAACUUAUCUAUGAAAGAGCAGGACUUUUCCACAGUGUGGGAGCAAAGAUUGAGCGAGCUGUUGGAAAAAAGGCAGCUUUACAUUCAGAAAAUGAGCAGCUCUAAUGAAAUUGUCCACUCCUCCCUGCGGUUAUACUACAAUGAGUUCCAUCCUGAGCUACAAGAGCUAGACGUGUUUUUAAAGCAGCUGGUUGGACUGAUGGAGGAGCCUAUUGAUUUUGGAAAAGUGAACGAGCUGCUGAUCCGGGAGCGGGAGCGUCGGUUUGCUCUCGUAACACGAUGCAGGGACAUUCCUGUGCAGGUUAGUUUUACUCUCCAAUGCACCCCUCAGAGGAUUCUAAUUCUGAUCUUUGCGGUCACAGCUUUGUUUUUAUUCUACAGAGCAUCCUCAGUGAGCACAGUGCUCUGUUAGAGGAGCUGAAGAAGCUGGAGGCAGAGGCUGUUUCUCUGCUCCAACAGGAGAAGAAUAAGAGAUUCACGUUGAUGCAGGCUCUGGAUGGAGCUCCCCUGCAGGCUGAGCUGUCCCUCAUCAGAGACAACCAGAAGCUGACUGAGCAGCUCCAGCAAGCUGAGCUCAAGCUUCAGGUAUGUCUGUGCAGCUUUCGCACACGAGUAUGUGGGACCACAGUGUAAUCUCCAAUAUUCCUGUUUGUGAAUUCCAGAUUCUCAGUACUCAGAAUGAACACCUGCAGGACUCUCAAAUUAAAGCCAACAACAGGGUGAGCAGCCAGAAGGAGGCCACCCAGCUGCUGCAGACGGAGCUGCAGGACAGCCGUGCACUCGUGGAGGACAAAGAGAACACCAUCCAGAGCCUGAAGAGCAAGCUGAGAGAGUCUGAGGUAUGGACAGUCUCAGGUGUGCCUUUCAGCAGCAACUUUUCCUCAUAUAACCG